rnacentral:rRNA from 1 species
CUUCAUGUUGUAAAAAACGGAAGAUGACUCGGUUGGGUCUUUCAUUUAUUAGAUUGUUGUUAAGGUAUUGGCUUAACAAGUCUUUGACGAAUAACGGAGAAUUAGGGUUCGAUUCCGGAUAAGGAGCCGGAGGGACGGCUACUACAUCUAAGGAAGGCAGCAGGCGCGUAAAUUUCCCAAUGUACAUUGUACGAGGAAGUGACGAUCAAUAAUAAUGUGCGAGGUUUACCUUGUGCAAUUAGAAUGACCUAAAGUUAAAACGCUAAAGAACGAUCAAUUGGAGGGCAAGUCUGGUGCCAGCAGCCGCGGUAAUUCCAGCUCCAAUAGGAUAUAUCAAAGUUGUUGCAGUUGAAAAGCUCGUAGUCGUAUUUCUGGUGAGUCGAUGUAUUUUCAAGACGAUAAGUAAUUGUUGUUUUUUGAUACCGCUUGCCAUUUUGUGGGUAAAAGUGUUUUCAAUUUUCGCAAGAUAGUUGAUUGCAUUCCACUCCGUCACUGAGAGCAAAUUGGAGUGCUCAAAGCAGGCUUUUAUAGCUUUGAACAUCUUAGCUUGGAAUGACAAAGUAUGACAAUUCGUUCACUUUGUUGGUUAUGAAUGAAAUGUAAUGAUAAAUAGGAACAGAGCGGGGGUACUGGUACUUUAAAGUCAGAGGUGAAAUUCUUGGAUUUUUAAACGACCAACGACUGCGAAAGCAUUUACCAAGUAUGUUUUCAUUGAUCAAGAACGAAAGUGCGAGGUUCGAAGAUGAUUAGAUACCAUCGUAGUUUGCACUAUAAACGAUGCCGACUCGGAAUUGAGAUUUAUUCGAUUUUAGAAGAAUCUCAGCGCCGUAUGUGAAAACAAAGUCUUUGGGUUCCGGGGGGAGUAUGGUCGCAAGAGUGAAACUUAAAGGAAUUGACGGAAGAAUACACCAGAAUUGGAACGUGCGGUUUAAUUUGACCCAACACGGGGAAACUCACCAGGUCCAGACAUGAGAAGGAUUGACAGUUUGAAAGCAUUUUCUUGAUUUCAUGGUUGGUGGUGCAUGGCCGUUCUUAGUUGGUGGAGUGAUUUGUCUGGUUGAUUCCGAUAACGAACGAGACUCUCAGAGUAAACUGGUAUUGUUAUAAUUCGCGUUAUUUCGUACCUCUUUUCUCGACUAUUCGUUUCAAACGAAAGGAAGCAGAGAGCAAUAACAGGUCUGUGAUGCCCCUCGAUGUUCUGGGCUACACGCGCGUUACAAUGACAAGUUCAACGAGUUUAUUUUCCUUGUCCGGAAGGAUGUGGGUAAUCUUUUCAAUGCUUGUCGUGAUGGGGCUUGAUUUUUGCAAUUAUUAAUCAUCAACGAGGAAUUUCUAGUACGUGCAAUUCAUCAGAUUGCGCAGAAUGCGUCCCUGUUCUUUGUACACACCGCCCGUCGCACCUACCGAUUGGACGAUCCGGCAAGAAGUUUGGAGUUGUGUUUAUGAGAAUUUCGGUUUUUGUCAACGUAAUAAAGCUCUUCAAACCUUAUCGUCUAGAGGAAGGUGAAGUCGUAACAAGGUC